rnacentral:rRNA from 1 species
CCUACGGGAGGCAGCCGUGGGGGAUAUUGCACAAUGGGGGGAACCCUGAUGCCGCGACGCCGCGUGAGGGAAGACGGCCUUCGGGUUGUCAACCUCUGUCGCAGGGGACGAAGGAGAUGACGGUACCCUGUGAGGAAGCCACGGCUAACUACGUGCCAGCAGCCUCUGUAAUACGUAGGUGGCGAGCGUUGUACGGCAUUACUGGGUGUAAAGGGGACGUAGGCGGGAUAUUAAGUUGAAUGUAUUAACUACCGGCUUAACCGAUAGAAGCGUUCAAAACGGAUAUUGUUGAGUGAAGUAGAGGCAGGCGGAAUUCCUAGUGUAGCGGUGAAAUGCGUAGAUAUUAGGAGGAACACCAGUGGCGAAGGCGGCCUGCUGGGCUUUAAUUGACGCUGAGGCUCGAAAGCGUGGGUAGCAAACAGGAUUAGAUACCCGAGUAGUC